GGGCUCGUGGUCUAGCGGUUAUGACGUCACCCUGACAUGGUGAAGGUCGCCGGUUCGAAUCCGGCCGAGCCCA
rnacentral:tRNA from 2 species